rnacentral:misc_RNA from 1 species
GAUGAAGAACGUAGCGAAAUGCGAUACGUAAUGUGAAUUGCAGAAUUCAGUGAAUCAUCGAGUCUUUGAACGCACAUUGCGCCCCCUGGUAUUCCGGGGGGCAUGCCUGUCCGAGCGUCAUUGCUGCCCUCAAGCACGGCUUGUGUGUUGGGCCUCCGUCCUCCUCCCGGGGGACGGGCCCGAAAGGCAGCGGCGGCACCGCGUCCGGUCCUCGAGCGUAUGGGGCUUCGUCACCCGCUCUUGUAGGCCCGGCCGGCGCUUGCCGACACACCAAUCUUUUUUACAGGUUGACCUCGGAUCAGGUAGGGAUACCCACUGAACUUAAGCAUAUCAAUAAGCGGAGGA